GCGGGGUCGUGGAGCCGGGAGCGAGCACGGUGGGGCGGGGCCAGACUGGCGGUGGGCGUGACCGUUGGUGAGGUGAGCUGGGUCAGCCUGCGGUGGAGGGGCGGGGUCCCAGAGCCGUGGGGCGGGGCAGCCCGUGGCCUGGAGCAGCGGUUGGCGACCUUUGGAGUGGCGGUUGCGCCGUUGGGCGGUUGGAUGGGGGUGCGGUCGGACGUAUAAAAGCUACGCCCAGCGCUUUUGGAAGCAGUAAGUCCAGCCCUAGGCUAAGGUGUUAAUCACUGAAAGGAGGUAGAACGUUUUUCCCCACCAGAGGAGGCAGCGACCACGUCUCCUCUAUGGAGGCAUUCAAGAGCCGUCCAGCUGAAGCAGCAUCAUUGUCUGGGCUUGGAAGGCACAAUCCAUACAGGUCUGCAUGGUCCACCAGAGCUCCACACCCACGGGGCCAGCCGGGGCGCUCUUCUGAAGCAGGGUCUCGCUCUGUUGCCGAGGCUGGAUCACAGCUCACUGCAACCUUGAACUCUACCUCAAGCAGUCCUCCCCACUCUGCCUUCCAAAGCACUAGCAUUACAGGCCUAAGCCACCACCCCCAUCCACUGAAGUGUAAACUAUCUCCUUCACGUUUCCAGUAGCUGCAGAGCAGAUCAGGGAUUGAGAGAAAGUAUGAUUUAUGGUGGCAGAGAUAAAUGAAACAUCCAAGGGCAGCCCCGCGUUGCCCCAACUCCUGAUUCUCUUCCAUCUGUUCGUAUGUGUUGUCAUCAAAGAAAUAAUAUUUUGAAGAGAACUUUGGAAUUGAGAAGAUGUCUUGCAACGUUGUCUAAGGAAAGUUACUUACUUCAAAGUCAUAACCUCCCCAAAGUCUUCUUCUGGAAGACUGUACUUUUAGCUUUCACAUUAAAGCUUGUGAUCUAACUUGCAUAUUUUGUACUUUUGUGAAAUAGAAGUCAAGGUUCAUGUUUCCCACCCCCCCCCGAAAGGGAUGUCCCAG
rnacentral:lncRNA from 1 species